CAGCUUUAACAGCCAAGGCAGUUUUAUAGGUUUGCCGCAGUAUAUCUCAGUCACUCACUUUUUAACCUUAGUUUUCUGCAAGGAAUUUCCUGGCAGGUUUUCUCUGUAUUAGGCAUUCUUGAUUUUCUUACCUGCGAUAAGUGUCAUCUGUAUGCUAUUAGAUGAUGAUUCUUCUUCUUCUUACCCACAAAAACUGUCAACUAUAUUAGCAGUUGCUGAUUCUUUGUAUUCUCAGACCUUCAACUAACAACUUCACAGCUACUGGCCUGUUUGGUAACUGAAUUUUCACAGUUUAUAAACAAAAGAAAGCCAGUGACAACUUCAGUUGUUAAAGAAUGUGUUGCUAUCAGUAGUUGUUAAUGGCAUAAUCACUGUGCUCUCAAAUCUAGAUUCUCGAAAGCUUCAAUUCUAUCUAUUAGCUGGUUGUGUGUAUGGUACGGCUCCACCAACAAGAGAUUUUUUUCACUGGAGGCAAGUUCGAUGAUGACUUGUCUGAUGUCUUCAGAGUUAUUGAAGCUUUGUGACGACUUUUGCCACACUAGAUGUGGAAUAUAGCUCUUUCACUUGUUGCUAGUAGGGCGUUACCAAUUACUUUUCUUUUCAUCUUGGCUUGAUAUAGCCGACUAACUCACCCAUUCAAUUGAUAGCUAACUACAACUUUUAUUAGAUCAAGAAUAGAAAGAGCACAUCAAGAGAUGGAAUGCUUCCUCUUGACAGAGAGAUCUCGCAAUGCCCUAUGCCUCAUGAUUGCGACAUGUUCAAUUCCAGGCCAGAUCUAGGCGACAUGAUAAUGCCCAUUUUUGAAGAAUUGAAGAUCUGGCACCGAACUUUGGGGAAAAUCGGAAAAUAGGUAAAGUUCUUUUUUUCCCCCAACAAUAUAACCACCAACCAAAUUAACCAAAUCUUGCUACAUUUGUGUUUGAUUUAGCCAUGUUUGUAUAAUUGUUAAUUUUUUCUUCAUAUUUUUCUAGUUUUUUAUAUAACUUUCAGCAAUUUUUUAAUUAUUUGUAAAAUAUUUGGAGUAUAUAUUGUUCAAAAACAUGUAUGGAUUAUAGAUCUACACAUGCAUGCACUAAAUCAAUAUUUUCAUCUCUUU